AGAACGAACGCUGGCGGCAUGCCUAAUACAUGCAAGUCGAACGAACUCUUCGGAGUUAGUGGCGCACGGGUGCGUAACGCGUGGGAAUCUGCCCCUUGGUUCGGAAUAACAGUUGGAAACGACUGCUAAUACCGGAUGAUGACGAAAGUCCAAAGAUUUAUCGCCAAGGGAUGAGCCCGCGUAGGAUUAGCUAGUUGGUGAGGUAAAGGCUCACCAAGGCAACGAUCCUUAGCUGGUCUGAGAGGAUGAUCAGCCACACUGGGACCGAGACACGGCCCAGACUCCUACGGGAGCAGCAGUAGGGAAUAUGGACAAUGGGACGAAAGCCUGAUCCAGCAAUGCCGCGUGAGUGAUGAAGGCCUUAGGUUGUAAAGUCUCUUUACCGAGUAUGAUAAUGACUAGUA
rnacentral:rRNA from 1 species